UGAAAACUGCUUCCAUGAUUCAUUCAGAGCUGUUUAAAGGCACAUAAUCAAUCUGUUAUUUAAAGACUGCUGUUGUUCUUCCUUCUGUCUGGGGGAAAGCAGAAGGAAGAGUGCGGUGGUCGCCUCGCUCUGUUUGUUAUUUAAGAAAUGCAGUGUUUGGAGAAAGUUUCUUGCCAUCUUUGUGGAAUCAUAAAAAGUAGCACACAGAAUGAUAUUUUCCAGUGGGUAAAAUCUGGGAUGACACGUGGGAGCCCACCAGUGAAUGUCAGCAGCACUUUGCCUGAUGUGCCGCCUCCUUCAGCCAGAGAGUCUUUUCAUUGUGUUACAAACAAGUCACAUAUAAUAUCUGCAGACUGUACUUGUGUCCUGUCUGCGGGGAACAGUGUCAUAAAUAUGUGGAGCCAAAGAUCCAAACAUCCAGAUACCACAUUGGUCACCGACAGGAUGUCUUCAUUUUAAGCACUUUGAUU